UUGAGCCGUAUGAGUUGAAAGGCUCACGUACGGUUCUUAGGGGAGUCAGGGGCAGUGAUGCCCCUCGCUUACCCGAC
rfam:Bacillus megaterium QM B1551 plasmid pBM600, complete sequence.